ACCCUCUUGGUCUCACCUUCUCUUGCAGAGAUGCAAACUGACGCUCUUCCGCUGCGCAGAGUUUCUCAGGUGGGCUCAUUUGAAGACGCUGUUCCGCAGCAUGGCCUGGGAUGGCUCCUCACAGCUCCUGAAGUGUGUCUGGAAGUGCUUGAUGCAGAACGAGAGCCACAUCCCCAAAUUCCUGUUCCAGGCCUUAGAGUACCUGGAAAGCUCACAGACAACAAUAAGACAUUCUGCAGCCCUGUUCAUUGGAAAUACUAUCCGCCAUUACUGCGACUUGUGGUCUGAAACCGUGAAUGAAGAUGGCAUCUCCCGCCUGUAUGAAG